GACGAACCGAGCGAACGUUGUUCGGAAUCACUGGGCUUAAAGGGCGCGUAGGCGGGCUGUCAAGUCUGGGGUGAAAUCCCGCGGCUUAACCGUGGAACUGCCUCAGAUACUGAUGGCCUCGAGGGAGAUAGGGGCGAGCGGAACUAAUGGUGGAGCGGUGAAAUGCGUUGAUAUCAUUAGGAACUCCGGUGGCGAAGGCGGCUCGCUGGGUCUCUUCUGACGCUGAUGCGCGAAAGCUAGGGGAGCGAAUGGG
rnacentral:rRNA from 1 species